rnacentral:misc_RNA from 1 species
GCCUUCUCAAAUUUGGGAGAAGUGGUCUUGAUAGGUGCCCAGAGAUCUGCGCCAUUGCUGCGAGCAACUCCAACAGUGCAAGAGAUUGGAACAAGACAUAAACCUCUGCUUCUCAGGCUGUAUUGAUCUAAUUCCUGUAGCUGAGCUGCUGGUAUACUUUGUAGGUAUGGAGCACUCAACACCUUAACUUGUUCAUGAAGAAAUUGUAUGUAUUCCAUUGCCUCCAGAAGGACAGAUGCUGUAUCUGUCUUCCCAUAUGGUGAGACAAGCUGCUGCAGAGCUACAAUGCGUUCACCUAGCUUCUCUUUCCUCUCCUUUGUCGAGAUAGAAAGAUCAGCCUUAUGACGUUUAUUUGCAAGAGAAGUAAGAC